AUUGAACGCUGGCGGCAGGCCUAACACAUGCAAGUCGAACGAGUGGCGUACGGGUGAGUAAUGUCUGGGAAACUGCCUUCUGGAGGGGGAUAACUACUGGAAACGGUAGCUAAUACCGCAUACCAUCAGAUGUGCCCAUCUGGGAUUAGCUUGUUGGUGGGGUAACGGCUCACCAAGGCGACGAUCCCUAGCUGGUCUGAGAGGAUGACAAGCCACACUGGAACUGAGACACGGUCCAGAGGCCUACGGGAGGCAGCGGUGGGGAAUAUUGCACAAUGGGCGCAAGCCUGAUGCAGCCAUGCCGCGUGUAUGAAGAAGGCCUUCGGGUUGUAAAGUAAUUUCAGCGGGGAGGCGUUACCCGCAGAAGAAGCACCGGCUAACUACGUGCCAGCAGCCGCGGUAAUUC
rnacentral:rRNA from 1 species